rnacentral:pre_miRNA from 1 species
CAAAUACUCCCUCCGUCCCAAAAUUCUUUUCUUAGAUUUGUCUACAUACGGAUGUAUCUAAUACUAAAACAUGACUUGAUACAUCCGUAUUUAGACAAAUAUAAGACAAGAAUUUUGGGACGGAGGGAGUACAAA